GACGAGGGGUCCAAGCGUUGUUCGGAAUCAUUGGGCGUAAAGCGGGUGUAGGUGGCUCUAUAAGUCAGAAGUGAAAGCCCCGGGCUUAACCCGGGAAGUGCUUUUGAUACUGCAGAGCUUGAAUGUGGGAGAGGAUCGUGGAAUUCCAGGUGUAGUGGUGAAAUACGUAGAGAUCGGGAGGAACACCAGUGGCGAAGGCGGCUCUCUGGACCAGCACUGACACUGAGGCACGAAAGCGUGGGGAGCAAACAGG
rnacentral:rRNA from 1 species